AAACUCCCUACACCAUUGUGAACAUACCACUGUUGCCUCGGCGGACCCGCCCCGGGCGCUCCCCCUCGCGGGGCGUGUUCCGGGCUCAGGCGGCCGCCGGGGGCUCCAAACCUCUGUUUUUAUAGCGGACUUCUGAGUAUCAUGAGAAAAUAAAUCAAAACUUUCAGCAACGGAUCUCUUGGCUCUGGCAUCGAUGAAGAACGCAGCGAAAUGCGAUAAGUAAUGUGAAUUGCAGAAUUCAGUGAAUCAUCGAAUCUUUGAACGCACAUUGCGCCCGCCAGUACUCUGGCGGGCAUGCCUGUCCGAGCGUCAUUUCAACCCUCAGUUCCCCCCUUCCGGGGGGUGAGCUGGUGUUGGGGAUCGGCCGUCCCUCGCGGCGGCCGGCCCUUAAAUUCAGUGGCGGCACCACCGCGAACUCCUCUGCGUAGUAGCUAUACCUCGCAGGCGGAUAGCGGAGGCGACCAGCCGUGAAACCCCCAUCUUUUACAAGGUUGACCUCGGAUCAGGUAGGAAUACCCGCUGAACUUAAGCAUAUCAAUAAGCGGAGGAAA
rnacentral:rRNA from 1 species